rnacentral:rRNA from 1 species
GAGGACGACAGCCACACGGGACUGAGACACGGCCCGACUCCUACGGGAGGCAGCAGUGGGAAUUUUCCCAAUGGGCGAAAGCCUGACGAGCAAGACCGCGUGGGGGAGAAGGCUCUUGGUUGUAAACCCCUUUUCUCUGGAAGAAAGUUGUGAAAGAACCUGACGGUACCGAGGAAUCAGCAUCGGCUAACCCGUGCCAGCAGCCGGGUAAGACGGAGGAUCAAGCGUUAUCCGGAAUGAUUGGCGUAAAGCGUCGCAGGUGGCAGUUCAAGCUGCUGUCAAAGACCGGGGCUUACCUCGGAAAGCAGUGGAAACUGAACAGCAGAGUAUGGUAGGGGCAAAGGGAUUCCUGGUGAGCGGUGAAAUGCGUAGAAUCAGGAAGAACAUCGGUGGCGAAGCGCUUUGUGGACCAUAACUGACACUCGGGACGAAAGCUAGGGGAGCGAAUGGAUUAAUACCCCAGUAGUCCUAGCCGUAAACGAUGGAUA